rnacentral:lncRNA from 1 species
UCAAAAGAUAAACUCCAAGCAUGCCAGUGUAUGAGGAAGAGUAUUUCGUGAAGACUGGAUUUCCUCAGUGACUUACAGUGGAAACAGAGACAGGAGGUCAUGAAAAUUAGUUGCUAGCCUCCCACUAGCCUGAGAGGAGUGGGCUAUACUCCAGGGCAUUGGACAAAUAACUGAACAUCACUUAACCAUUUCAAACUAAGGCAAAAUGCACUGGAACGCCUGCCCGAUUCCGCACUUCACACCCCUUCCUCUGGAGUAUCUUCAGGAUUCCAGCCUGAGUCCCUGACCUCUGAGCCUCACCCACAGAACACUCUCCUCAGAGGUCCCCUAGGACAAAGGCCAUGCCACCUUCCGGUUGCGGUGACUGGGGGACGCUGCUUGGUUUCCUGGCAACUACUGCUCUGUUUUUUACCUGUGGCUCCAGAGGAAGUCAGAAACCUGUCCAGCCCAGAUCUCCGUGAACGCCUCUGCUGCAGCUCACCUAACCCGGCCAGGGACCAGGAGCCCAUGGAAAGCAAUGAUGAGUACUGAGGAAAGAUGUAGGGAUGAGGUCUAGAGCACCCAUCUGAAGAUUUAGGCAGUGCUUAUUUUUUAAAUUAAGAGCACCUCGGAACACGUCUCAGAGGCAAAGAUUCCUCUGCUGUCUAUUUAGAGGUGAAGAAAGAACAGCCCACAGCAGCCUCAGCUGAGCAGCAGUAAAAGGAACCUGUAGUUGGAGCUCUUCUUAAGAAGUCUGAAAAUCAGGAGUUCCCAUCGUGGCACGCGGAAACAAAUCCGACUAGGAACCAUGAGGUUGAGGGUUCAAUCCCUGGCCUUGCUCAGGGGGUUGGGGAUCCGGCGUUGCUGUGAGCUGUGGUGUAGGUCACAGACAUGGCUUGGAUCUGGCAUUGCUGUGGCUGUGGGGUAGGCUGACAGUUGUAGCUCCGAUUAGACCUCUAGCCUGGGACCCUGCAUAUGCUGCAGGUGCGGCCCUAAAAAGACAAAAAAAAAAAAAGUCUGAAAAUCAGAUAAUAACAGAUCUUCAGACUUGGUAAUGGUAUUUAUUCUGGAGCUGAAUCUCAGCUUCUGCUUUCAAAUGGUGCAUGUGCUCCCCAAUUAACCACAGUAUCUGCCGCUUGGUAUUGUUUCCUUGAAUCUGAGCCAAGUGACAGCUGCCAUUUAGUCCCUCAAACAUCCAAUUAUUUACUCACAAUAGACUUAAGAAAAGAGUGCCUCUUUUACCCAUGUCUCUGGCAAAAGUAGGAAAAUAAAAGACAGAAAAAGAAGAGUCUGUGGUUUCAAGAAGAGAUCAUUUCCUUGUAAAAGUAAAAAGUAUUCGUAUAUAUAUGCAAAUAAAGUGUGUCUUUGUUGAUUAAAUACAAAUAAAGAUACCAUUAUAAAACAUAUUAUAGCAAGAAUUAUGAUAGGCUAGAGGAAGAUGCAUGUUGAAGAAAUUAAUGAACUAAAAAAAUAAAGAACUGAACUUUAAA